rnacentral:misc_RNA from 1 species
AUUCAAGUAAACGAGAUCAUGUCUUACUAAAUUCUGACUAUUGUGUUCGCCUUUGUAGAUGCCCAGUUAUCAAAUUCAAGUUGCAUAUUUAAUACAUGCUCCAUUGAAAUAGCAACAACUCGAAAUAGCAAACCUUAGCCCUGCAACAUACAACUAAUGCGUAGCAAUUAGCAGUCGCAUCUACCCAAAGCUCAAUUUCCAUAUCUGAUUUUCUCUCAAGCAUGAACAAAUGCACACCAUUCAAUGGUCAAAUCCCUAGUUUCCAGUGGCUACCAUCUCCGACUAGAUCACUGACACAGCAACCAUGAAUCAUAGCGGCUAAUAUCACAAGCAACAAGGAGAAGAAACUGAUCCCAAGAAAGUAAAAGUGAAUCAAAAUUAUCCGUACGGAGAGGAGCUCCAGUGGAUAGAUGAGAUGCAGAACACCAUUAGCAGCCUGCCUUAUCAUAGGUGGAGCGCAUUAAUCACUGGUAGUAAGUCCAAAUGGAGUAUGGACUGUCCCAAACUCCGGCAGUAUCCUACUCUUUAACAUUGUCAUGUAGAGGGCUGAGAUCAAAGCACUAACAAAGCUAAAA